GAUGAACGCUGGCGGCGUGCCUAAUACAUGCAAGUCGAGCGAACAGACGAGGAGCUUGCUCCUCUGACGUUAGCGGCGGACGGGUGAGUAACACGUGGAUAACCUACCUAUAAGACUGGGAUAACUUCGGGAAACCGGAGCUAAUACCGGAUAAUAUAUUGAACCGCAUGGUUCAAUAGUGAAAGACGGUUUUGCUGUCACUUAUAGAUGGAUCCGCGCCGCAUUAGCUAGUUGGUAAGGUAACGGCUUACCAAGGCGACGAUGCGUAGCCGACCUGAGAGGGUGAUCAGCCACACUGGAACUGAGACACGGUCCAGACUCCUACGGGAGGCAGCAGUAGGGAAUCUUCCGCAAUGGGCGAAAGCCUGACGGAGCAACGCCGCGUGAGUGAUGAAGGUCUUCGGAUCGUAAACCUCUGUUAUUAGGGACGAACAAAUGUGUAAGUAACUAUGCACGUCUUGACGGUACCUAAUCAGAAAGCAACGGCUAACUACGUG
rnacentral:rRNA from 1 species